rnacentral:rRNA from 1 species
CACUUCUAAGGAAGGCAGCAGGCGCGCAAAUUACCCAAUCCUGACUCAGGGAGGUAGUGACAAGAAAUAACAAUAAACCGGCUUAUGCCGGUUUAAUUGGAAUGAGUACAAUUUAAACAUCUUAACGAGGAACAAUUGGAGGGCAAGUCUGGUGCCAGCAGCCGCGGUAAUUCCAGCUCCAAUAGCGUAUACUAAAGUUGUUGCAGUUAAGAAGCUCGUAGUUGGAUUUCUGUGGGGACGGAGCGGCCGGCCGCAACUCGCGGUUCGAGCUAGCGCUUUCCCUACAUCCUGCCGCGAACCGUGCUACCAUUAGUUUGGUGGCGCCGGGGAUCGGCUCGAUUACUUUGAGAAAAAUAGAGUGUUCAAAGCAGGCCACACGCCUUGAAUAAGUUAGCAUGGAAUAAUAACUAAGGACUUCGGUUCUAUUUUGUUGGUGUUCGGGACUGAAGUAAUGAUUGAUAGGGACAGUUGGGGCGGUCUGUAUUCCAAAGCGAGAGGUGAAAUUCUUAGACCUUCGGAAGACAAACAGCUGCGAAAGCGUUCCGCAAGGAUGUUCCCUUUGAUCAAGAACGAAAGUUGGGGGAUCGAAGACGAUCAGAUACCGUCGUAGUCUCAACUAUAAACUAUACCAGCUAGGGAUCGGCCAACGUUAUUUAAACCGACUUGGUCGGCACCUUAUGAGAAAUCAAAGCAUCUGGGUUCCGGGGGGAGUAUGGUCGCAAGGCUGAAACUUAAAGGAAUUGACGGAAGGGCACCACCAGCCGUGGAGCCUGUGGCUUAAUUUGACUCAACACGGGAAAACUUACCAGGUCCAGACAUAGUAAGGAUUGACAGAUUGAUAGCUCUUUCUUGAUUCUGUGGGUGGUGGUGCAUGGCCGUUCUUAGUUGGUGGAGUGAUUUGUCUGGUUAAUUCCGUUAACGAACGAGACCCCAGCCUGCUAAAUAGCGCGCGUGAGCUUUGCUCGCGGCGAGCUUCUUAGAGGGACUCUGAUGCGCGAUAGCACAUGGAAGUUUGGGGCAAUAACAGGUCUGUGAUGCCCUUAGAUGUUCUGGGCCGCACACGGGCUACACUGGCGCCUGCAACGAGCAUAUCAGCUGGCCCGAGAGGGUCUUGGCUAAUCUUUUGAACCGGCGCCGUGCUUGGGAUUGACCUUUGCAAUUGUUGGUCAUGCAACGAGGAAUGCCUUGUAAACGCGAGUCAUCAGCUCGCAUUGAAUACGUCCCUGCCCUUUGUACACACCGCCCGUCGCUCCUACCGAUGAAUGUUCCGAUGAAAUUUUCGGAGAGCACCUGUGAACUUGGCUCUGCCUUGCGAACGGGAAGCUCAAAGUCACUUAAAUCUGAACAUUUCGAGG